ensembl:lncRNA
AUCUUUUCUUGUCAGAGGGGAUUUGAAGGAAAACGCUGACAGGAAGCGUGCACCCUGCUGACUGUGUUAUGUCUGAUAUUUACAGUAUAGUUGUCUCGAGAUAAAAGAAAAAAACUUUUCACUUAGCAGCACAAGGCAGGGAUUUUCCACUGCUAACUGGCUGUUUGGUGUAUUUCUAGAGGGCACAGCAGUUUUCCUCUGUCUGGUCACUUUUUCCAUCUACUAAGGAACAAAAUGAAGGAUCAGCAAAUUGCUCUGCUAAGAUUUACAGUCCUGCCCACCCAUAGCCAACCCAUAGUCUUUUCCAUGACAUCUGCAUCUCACAUGGUUAUGAUUAUAAGAUUAUAAUUUCAUAGUGCUGUUAAUGCACCCUCCUUCAUCCAGCUCUGGAAAUAUAUGCCCGUUAAGUCUAGUUUCUCAUUCCUCUCCUUACAGUCUCUGGUUAAGGUCCAGUAAGACUGUAUAGUGUGCUCACCUACCUUUUGCUGAAGUUGAAUUAUUCAUAACAAUUUGCAUUAAGUUUACAAAACACAUUUGCACUCUGCUCUGAAGUAGCUUACCUUACCUGUUUGCCUACCAGGAAAUGUGAAGUGUGGGCUCUACUGUUAAUUAUUUACUCAGCAAAGAUUUCCCGUUAAGAACAGUUCUCACAAUCAAGGUCACGUGUCAUUAUUACUUCUAAUGGAACAAUCAGGAAUGUGUAGCAAAUAUUAUGUGAUAAAGUCAGGUAGAUUUUCAGCCUCUGUGAUUUUUCAGUGCAAAUAGGAAAAUAUACCUAUUGCUUCUUCUUCACAAUUUAUCUCUAAAAAAUAAUAAUAAUAAAGAAGUUUUAAAAAAUAUAUACCCCAACUCCAUCCAUCCAUCCAUCUUCAAUACCGCUUAUCCUUUUCAGGGUCACGGGGAACCUGGAGCCUGUCCCAGGGAGCAUCGGGCACGAGGCGAGGUACACCCUGGACAGGGUGCCAAUCAUACCCCUACUCAGUAACAAUAAUUUGCCUGACUAUAAAAUCCUGAAAGCUGCUCAGAGGAUACCAAAGAAAUUGGAGGUGAAAGUAAAGACAAAGCAAGUUUUCACAUAUGCAAAGGGAAAUGCAAAUACUAUAGCAGGAAUUAUCAUUAUUAAUAGCUUAACAUACACAGUUUAGCCAUUUUUGUUACUAGGAAGACUUGGGAGCCUAACAGACUAAAUGCCUCGUUGCUAUAAAUCAAAAGAUCUGCUAAUGCAGUCCUGAGAGGAUGCAAACCUUUGCACUUGACUGUAGACCAAUGGUUAUUUCUGUGUACACUUCACAGUUGUGUUGCUGUCUAUUGACUGGCUCGUUGACUGGCUCGUUGAUCCAUGUUACUCAUGUGCCAUGACUGAUUGACUACAGGGUGAAGGAGGACACAAUGAAGUGACACACUGCUCCGCACAUGCUAGCAUUUAAUCUGAACUCCUACAGAGAAUGUGACUAUAUCCUCACUCUCUAUUGCAUAAUGUGCUGUUGCUUACUGUACGGUCAAGUUUACUAGGGCAUUGGGCAAUAUUCUCCAGGCCCUCCUGACAUUCAGUAUGACCUUGACGAACACGUGUGCUCUAUAUUAAGACUACAACUGAGUGUGAAAAGCAUCCAUGCGCUUAGGUCAAAUCGAAGAAAACAAAAAAUAUUUAUGUGAACAAGGUGUUUAGAUCCGGAUUAACUAAACUUUUGCGUGUGUAAAAGCAUGUGAUAAAAAAGUUCAGGUACUCUUUAAGCGGUCAUUUGUGACUUUACUGUUCACUGAGGUUAAAUAUGAGGUUACCCAGGGGUCAAGCUUUAAAGGUAGAGGAGG